rnacentral:rRNA from 1 species
GACAGAGGAUGCAAGCGUUAUCCGGAAUGAUUGGGCGUGAAGCGUCUGUAGGUGGCUUUUAAGUCCGCCGUCAAAUCCCAGGGCUCAACCCUGGACAGGCGGUGGAAAUUACCAAGCUGGAGUACGGUAGGGGCAGAGGGAAUUUCCGGUGGAGCGGUGAAAUGCGUAGAGAUCGGAAAGAACACCAACGGCGAAAGCACUCUGCUGGGCCGACACUGACACUGGGAGACGAAAGCUAGGGGAGCGAAUGGG